CACGUAGGAGGCGAGCGUUGUCCGGAAUCAUUGGGCGUAAAGAGCGCGCAGGCGGCUUGGCAAGUCGGGUGUGAAAUCCCGGGGCUCAACCCCGUGACUGCAUCCGAUACCGUCAGGCUAGAGGUAGGUAGGGGAGAUCGGAAUUCCUGGUGUAGCGGUGAAAUGCGCAGAUAUCAGGAGGAACACCGGUGGCGAAGGCGGAUCUCUGGGCCUUACCUGACGCUCAGGCGCGAAAGCGUGGGGAGCGAACAGG
rnacentral:rRNA from 1 species